UGCUAUCUUUAAGAAAAGUAUCCUUAUUAACUUUCUGUUUAUUUUUCUAUUUUCUGUUAUCCUCCAGGGCACCUGGGCUGCAUAUGCAAAUUGAUCUAAGCUGCUUCUCAAAAGAACUUCCUCCAAGUAAGAAAAAAAGACAGACCAAGAUGUCAACCUUAUUGUGAAAGUAAAGAUUUAUAUCCUCACUACCUGAAAAAGGAAAACCUUUUCUGACUUUAAACUCUAUCAGAAGGCCACUACUAUAAAGGGGAGACAGGCAUUUAUUUUGUUGAUUGUUGAAUAAUCUUCAAGUGUUAAACCUUUCAAAAGAGAAAAAAGAACAUCAGUGCUAUAGGCUCCAGUGAUUUAGCACCUUGGAAAUUUCCCCAGCCUUUGUAAAAGUCAUUCUUCAAUUCUCUAUUAGCUCAGCUAAGACUGUUAUCAAAUUUUUCACAUUUUACUGGAUACUGGUAAAGGACUGUUUCCUGGUAUUGCUUGAGAAUGGAUAUAAGAUUUUGGCACUACUUCAAGGAAAGUUAUCCCUGGAAAACCUCUACUCCAAAAAACAGAUGGCUAGGAGAAGAAGAAUAAGAUUUUAAAAUGGCUUAAAGUGGCUCGAAUUUUUCAGGACAUCAACUGGAAGCUUUUUUAUGAUAAAAGAAAAGGAGGCUGAGUAAUGAAUAUCCAUUUUUUCUUUUUUUUAACCUUUUUCAUUAAAACCACAAAUUUAUCACCUCAA
rnacentral:lncRNA from 1 species